CCCACUUGUCGAAUGCACUUGUGUUAUACCAGGUGUAAGGGUUAGAGAUUAUGGAGCAUCUCUUCAAGCUCUGCUCACAUUCUGGAAAUGCUUGAUCGCAGUGCUCAUUCUGAAAUUAAAGAUCUUGCUCAUGAACAAUGUUAUUUAUUUAAGAGAGAGCAUGAGCAGGAUGGGAUGGUCAGAUGCAGAGGCAGAGGGAGAAGAAGCAGACCUGCUAGUGAGCAGGCAGCCCAACAGGGAUCUUGAUCCAAGGACCCUGGGAUAAUCUCCUGAGCCCAAGGGAGGCCCUUAACCAAAACCAACUAAGCCACCCA
rnacentral:lncRNA from 1 species